CGGCAACACUAGCCACCAGCAGCAGUUCCACCCCGCACUCCGCGCUCCGCACGCGGAUACUCGAAUACGGGCUCCAGCAGUUUAUUACGUAUACGGUACGGUGCCGCAUGCUGCCGCCGCUAUCCGCCGAGUGCCGUGUGCCGUUUGCCGCUUGCCUCUUGCCUCUUGCCGCCCGUUAACCGUUGGCAUUGCAAAUGCGAAAUCAAAAUAAAGUGCAAUACAAAUAUUAGCACUGCAAUAAAACAAUAAAAUAAUCAACUUUGAGCGUAUUAAUUGCAAUCUUGUGAUAGAGAUUAUUUAAGCGGAACACGGGAGGGAGCACCAGAAACAACAACAACAACACAAAGAACAGGGAAGCACAACAGAAAUCUGCAGUUAAAGCGAAUGAGAGAGCUUGGACAAACAUCAACAGGAGCCCGGAAGCACGGAAGCACGGAAGCACGGAAGCACGAAGGACCAACCAAAUCAUAAGUAAACAGAGCGAGAGGGAGCGAGCGGACAGGGUGGACAGCGGAUAGGGGAGGCGGCAGGACGAAGGAUAAACGUGGUCUCGUUGCCAUGAGUGCAGCCUCGGGUGUUGUCAAGGAGUA